UUUGUAGGGAUGUGCCAGUUCUUGUGUAAAGUGUCCAUGGUGGCAUUAUCCUUUGCUUUGCCCUCCCUCUGUCCCAUGUGGAACUUCCAGUUAAUGAAUAAAAGGUCAGGUGACAAGUGAUACACUUUCUGAUGGGAUUUUGCUAUGAAUUGUUGAGCAUGAUUUUGUGUGCAUAUUUGGGGAACAGCGGUUUCCUUACAGCACUCAUUUACAUGGCUAAUUACCGCGUGCUGCACUUGUGAGCCAGCUCUGUUGGAUAGGGGCAGGACAGGGGCAGGGAGAUGCCACCAAGGACAUAACACAAAACACCCAAAUUAGGCUUUGUCAUGACUGCACAAUUAGAGGCUCAUUUUAGAUAAACCUAGUGACUUAUUAUUGUGAUUCUCAAGGUUGAGGCUUCGGAGAGAACUCAGUGACAUUAAAGAGACCAACUUCAGGUCACAGGGAACAAUUUUUGAUAAAUUUCUUUACAGUGUGUGUGGGGAGGCAAAUGAAUUCUCAAUUCCAAAUAAAGGUUCAGUUUGCAUUCCUCUAAUUCUUAAUAAAGCUCUCACUGAGACCAAAUGAAAAAAUGUUUUUUUUCCUGUUUCCCCUCCUUUGAUUGCCACAUAGUUUUAUAAGAGGAAAGAGGAGUAACUUCUAUUUUAUUGGGGUUUUUUUUUUUUUGUAUUUUUAUUGCCCUGGACCUAGUUAAAUCUCAAUUUUAGAAGCUUGUGAUUCUUCCCAGUGUGGGUGACCUUUGUUUUUAAUCUUUGGUGAUUCAAUUUUUGUGCUUUGAUUUCUAAAACAGACCACUGUGUGGGUAAUCUGGGAUUAUACAGUUCAGUAGUCACCUGUAACCCAAAACAACCAUUUCUAAGUUUCAUCUUUUUCUGUAGACCCACAGUUCAGAAUCUCCUUUGGAUGCAGAUUCUGGAAUCAGACAUUUUUUUUGUUCCUCUCCCAGCUUACCUCUUAACAUCUCAAAGACUAAGAGUAAAUUUUCUCACCUGUGCAAUUGGAUGGCAAUGGUGUCCACAUUAAAAAAUAAAAAAGACUCCAUAGCAUCUUUGCCAAGCUAUCAUAUGAACAUUUGCAUGUUGUUGCAUAGAUGCACAUAUUUUAAAUGAAUCUUAUACAGUUCCUAAUGGAGAGGACAUAUUUUUUAAAUGCUUGGCUUUUCUUUUUUCGUUUGUGAGAACUACAUUGUGCUUAAUUACUAUUUACAUCACUGUAACAUAAUAUUGAUGACAGAGUUAGAGUUUCCUUUUUAAUUAACUGUACAAGAAAUAAAAUAGAACAUUGUUUUCUUUUUCUGUUGAAAAAAAUGUUCAUAUCGCAGGGUCUUGGUGAGGAUUCAGGGAGAUAAAGUGGAUAAAGCUCUUAGCAAGGUACCAAGCCUAUCAUAAGAAUUCACCAAAUACUAUCAAAAUGUAACAUGACUGGUUAUGUAAAAUUAAAAAGUUUUUUUAGAUUACAUUUGCCAUUUUAAGCUUUUAUACCUGUGCUGACCGUGAGUUCCAUUACUGAGAAAUGGCCAACUUCAGUUAUAGGUGUGGAAACAUGUAUUUCUUUAACAGUUACUAAGUUGUCAGUAAGUGAUCAUCCUGGUGAUUGAUAUUUGUAGUAAAUGUCAUGCAGAAAUGUUCUUUUGGUGAAAAGAGCUCGUUUUGAAAGAAUAGAUGAUGUUUCUUCAUUGUACUAUCAAGUAAAAUGAAGGAGAAAGGGCUAUUUGUGAGAUCUCAAAUAUCCUGAUGCAUAAUUUUCUUUUAAAGGUAUUUUAAUUUGAUGUAUUAAUGUAGAUAUUCUUAAGCUAAUAGUAAUAUGAUUUCUGGCCAUAAUAACAAUCGACUGCUGUUCUUAAAAACUUUGCAUCCUGAAAAAUUUCAACAUGUACAAAAAUAAAGAGGGUGUAUCAUAAGCCUCUAUGUACUUAUCACCUAAUUUCAACAAUUAGCAAUACAUGGCCAAUCCUUUUUAAUGCUUUAUUUUUCCUUUAGCCAGAUUUCUUGAGAUAUAAUUAACACCUAACAUUGUGUACAUUUAAAGUGUAUAGUGUUGUGAUUUGAUACAUAUACCUAUUGUGAAUAAUUACCACAGUAAGUUUAGUUAUUCCUUUGAAUCUGGAUGUCUUUUAUUUCUUUUUCUUGACUAAUUGCUAUGGCUAGGACUUCCAGUAUUAUGUUGAGUAAAAGAGGCAAGACUGAGCAUCCUUGUCUUGUUCCCCAGUUUAUUGGGAAGACUUUCUGGUUUUCACCAUCGAAUAUUGGUUUCUGUUUUUUUUUUUUUUUUUUUAUUCCAGGGCCACACCUGUGGCAUAUGGAGGUUCCCAGGCUAGGGGUUUCAUCAGAACUGUAGCUGCCGGCCUACGCCAGAGCCACAGCAACGCCAGAUCCAAGCCGAGUCUGUGACCUACACCACAGCUCAUGGCAACACCAGAUCCUUAACCCAUUGAGCGAGGCCGGGGAUUGAACCCGCAAUCUCAUGGUUCCUAGUCGGAUUCGUUAACCACUGAGUCACGACGGGAACUCCCACAAGAUAUUGUUUAGAAAAACAUUCUACACAUGAUUGGAAUCCCAGAAGGAGAAGAGGAGAAUGAGGCAGAAAGUCUAAUUUAAAGAAAUAAUGACUGAGAAUUUCUCAAAUCUGAGGAGAUUUAGAUAUCGGAGUUCAUGAAACUAAUCUGGUCACACCAAAAUUUCAAUCCAAAGCAGUCUUCUCCAAGAUUACAUAUGCACCCGUGGAAUAUGGAAGCUCCCAGGCUUGGGGUCGAAUUGGAGCUAUAGCUGCUGGUCUACACCAGAGCCACAGCAACGCAGGAUCUGAGCUGUGUCUGUGACCUACACCACAGCUCAUGGCAGCACUGGAUCCUUAACCCACUGAUCAAGGCCAGGGGUCAAACCUGCAUCCUCAUGAAUACUAGUUCGGGGCGUUACCACUGAGUCAUGACAGGAGCCCCUCAAAUUUUUUAAAUUCUAACGUCAUCAAAUUUCUAGCCAGUUCUCAGAUUUCUCCAAUUAUUUGGUGAAUAUUGUUUUAUAGUUUGAGUACCACUUCUGAG
rnacentral:lncRNA from 1 species